rnacentral:rRNA from 1 species
GACGAACGCUGGCGGCGCGCUUAACACAUGCAAGUCGAGCGAGAACCAGGCCUUCGGGCCUGGGGAAAGCGGCGAACGGGUGAGUAACACGUGGGUAACCCACCCUUGGUACCGGGAUAGCCCGAGGAAACUCGGAUUAAUACCGGAUGGCCCAACAGCUUCUCGGAGCGGUUGGAAAAGGUAGCUUCGGCCUCCGACCAAGGACGGGCCCGCGGCGGAUUAGCUUGUUGGUGAGGUAACGGCUCACCAAGGCGACGAUCCGUAGCUGGUCUGAGAGGAC